UACGUAGGGUGCGAGCGUUAAUCGGAAUUACUGGGCGUAAAGCGUGCGCAGGCGGUUCUCCAAGUCCGUUGUGAAAGCCCCGGGCUCAACCUGGGAAUGGCAGUGGAAACUAGGGGACUGGAAUCUGGCAGAGGGGGGUGGAAUGCCGCGUGUAGCGGUGAAAUGCGUAGAGAUGCGGCGGAACACCGAUGGCGAAGGCAGCCCCCUGGGCUGAGAUUGACGCUCAGGCACGAAAGCGUGGGGAGCAAACAGG
rnacentral:rRNA from 1 species